rnacentral:rRNA from 1 species
AAUCAACGCUGGCGGCGUGCCUCAGACAUGCAAGUCGAACGAUUAAACUUUCCUUCGGGGAAGAUAUAAAGUGGCGCACGGGUGAGUAACACGUAGGUAAUGUACCUUUGGGUGGGGAAUAACUUAGGGAAACUUAAGCUAAUACCGCAUAAUGCAGCGGCUCCUUCGGGAGACAGUUGUUAAAGAUUUAUCGCCUAAAGAGCAGCCUGCGGCAGAUUAGCUAGUUGGUAAGGUAACGGCUACCAAGGCGACGAUCUGUAUCCGACCUGAGAGGGUGGUCGGACACACUGACACUGAAUAACGGGUCAGACUCCUACGGGAGGCAGCAGUCGGAAUUUGGGCAAUGGGCGAAAGCCUGACCCAGCAACGCCGCGUGAA